rnacentral:rRNA from 1 species
AAAAGGGUGGUAAUGCCGGAUGCUCCGACUCCUCGCAUGGGGUGUCGGGAAAGAUUUCAUCGGUAUGGGAUGGGGUCGCGUCCUAUCAGGUAGUCGGCGGGGUAACGGCCCACCGAGCCUACGACGGGUAGCCGGCCUGAGAGGGCGACCGGCCACAUUGGGACUGAGAUACGGCCCAGACUCCUACGGGAGGCAGCAGUGGGGAAUAUUGCACAAUGGGCGCAAGCCUGAUGCAGCGACGCCGCGUGCGGGAUGACGGCCUUCGGGUUGUAAACCGCUUUUGAUCGGGAGCAAGCCUUCGGGUGAGUGUACCUUUCGAAUAAGCACCGGCUAACUACGUGCCAGCAGCCGCGGUAAUACGUAGGGUGCAAGCGUUAUCCGGAAUUAUUGGGCGUAAAGGGCUCGUAGGCGGUUCGUCGCGUCCGGUGUGAAAGUCCAUCGCUUAACGGUGGAUCUGCGCCGGGUACGGGCGGGCUGGAGUGCGGUAGGGGAGACUGGAAUUCCCGGUGUAACGGUGGAAUGUGUAGAUAUCGCAAAAGAACACCA